rnacentral:lncRNA from 1 species
GGAAUAAUAUGACUUUCUCAAGUAUACAGUCGGAAAAAAUAUUUCAUAUUUCACUUAUAUAUUGGUUGAUUAUUAUGUUGGUUUACUCUUUUCAUUUCCAAAGUAAAUGAUGAAAUAAAGAGAAGAGGGUAACAUGACAUCCUCGUGUGAAGAUGAUUUUCCAACAUUUAUUAAAGAAUGGGAAUAACGUGACUUUCCUAAUCCUAUAGUUGAGAAAACAUUUUCAAAACUAUGCAUGUUCUUGGUUUGGCGUUAAAAACAAUUAUAUGAUUUUUCCAACACAUGCCUAUUUGUUAAUGAGAAGGAAUAAUGUGACUUCCAGAUUAAAAAGUUGGAGAACAUUCGAUUUAUUUUGUGUUACAUACCCAUUUGGUAAUUUAUUGGAACGUAGAUAUAUUUUUCUGGAUCUAUUUGGAAUUUAUUUGAGGUUCAUAUGCACUAAAAACUUAUUUGAAAUAUUUUAUUCCAUGAGGAAAUUACUUUUCUUGCAUUCUAAACAGUUAAUUAACAUUCCUGGAAUUUUCUGGACUUUUUCCGAAUCGGUUUGGUAUUUUAUUUGCCUUAUGUGAAUUUCUGACGAUUUAGAGACCGAGAAAAGCUAUUUUUUUAUUUCAUUUUCUAUUUCUUCCGCGGAGUACGUUUUCUUUGCGAGGAGGCAUAUUCUACUGAAACCCGUCUCCACUUAAGUGUACCGAAAAGGUUUCUUCUAAUCUCAGCCAUCCAUCUCUCAUCCAACAGCCUAUCUCUCUCUUUUCUUUUCUUUUCUUUUCCUUUUCUCCUUUUCUUUUUCUCUCCUUCCUCCUUUCUUCUUCCUCACGAACACACCAGGCUUCCUGGCUGCACAGCGCCAUGGCCAAGCACCGGCCACCCGCUGCUGCUCCCCCCCG